rnacentral:snoRNA from 11 species
GUUCCCUAUGAUGGUUUGGAUUCAACCAUGCUAAUUCUGAUCAUUCUGUGAUUGAAGCAUUUUUCUUUUUCCUAAUUUUCUGAGGGAACU